CCUACGGGUGGCAGCAGUGAGGAAUAUUGGUCAAUGGGCGUAAGCCUGAACCAGCCAAGUCGCGUGAGGGAUGAAUGUUCUAUGGAUCGUAAACCUCUUUUAUAAGGGGAUAAAGUGUGGGACGUGUCCUGUUUUGUAUGUACCGUAUGAAUAAGGAUCGGCUAACUCCGUGCCAGCAGCCGCGGUAAUACGGAGGGUCCGAGCGUUAUCCGGAUUUAUUGGGUUUAAAGGGUGCGUAGGCGGCCUUUUAAGUCAGCGGUGAAAGUCUGUGGCUCAACCAUAGAAGUGCCGUUGAAACUGGGAGCCUUGAGUACGUUGGAGGCAGGCGGAAUGCGUGGUGUAGCGGUGAAAUGCUUAGAUAUCACGAAGAACCCCGAUUGCGAAGGCAGCCUGCCACGCCAUGACUGACGCUGAUGCACGAAAGCGUGGGGAUCAAACAGGAUUAGAUACCCUUGUAGUC
rnacentral:rRNA from 1 species